CAACGGAUCUCUUGGUUCUGGCAUCGAUGAAGAACGCAGCGAAAUGCGAUAAGUAAUGUGAAUUGCAGAAUUCAGUGAAUCAUCGAAUCUUUGAACGCACAUUGCGCCCUUUGGUAUUCCGAAGGGCAUGCCUGUUCGAGCGUCAUUA
rnacentral:rRNA from 2 species